rnacentral:lncRNA from 1 species
GCCGGGUCUGCGCUCUGGGACGCCAUGAGGGAAUAGUCCCUCUGUCCCCACGCCACGAGGGGAUCGUCUCGUCAUCCCCACGCCAUGAAGUGAUCAUUCCUCCAUCCUCAAGCCAUGAGAGAAUCAUCUCGUCAGCCCCGGGCCAUGAGAGGAUCGUCCCUCUAUCCCCUUGCUAUAAGGGAAUUAUCCCCAUGCCACGAGGGGAUAUCAUCCAUGAGGGCCUUGUCCCGACAUACCCACAGCCUGGUCCUCCUGCCCUCUGUGUCCCUGGCACCCUCAGACCCUUCAUUAUGACCAGAGCCAUCAAAAGAAUGGGGUAAAUCCCUUAAAAGUCCUCUCAACACUCUACACAGAAAAAAUAUGGGACUCUGAGGGCAAGUCAGAAUGCCCACCUCAGGUGGCGCUUGCCCAUGCCAGCCAUUCCCUCACCAUUCCUCAAACCAGGCCUGUGGGACAGAGCUGCAACUGACAAAGGACUCAGAAUCAGCUCUUGGCACGAAGCAAAGCACAAAUCUGAACUUAGAUGUGUCUGGGACAGAACAACACUUUUCUUUGUUUCGGGUGAGAUUUCAGCGUGCCAGUUGUACCACUACAGGCAGAAAACUGCACAGACCUCUCUGACCCCAGCAGCUCCAAGCAUGGCAAAGACAGAGAAAAUAAGAGGGAACUUGGGCCAUCAGAGAGGAAAGCGCUGCCCUCCGGUUGUGGUUUGCUGCCUGUGUACCCACAGAGAGGCAUCUGCAGCCAGAGAGGUUUUCCACUAGAUUGAAAGAGCUUGGAAAUGCUCCAUCCUGUUUGGAAAAGGACCUCGGGGUUUGUGCCAUG